rnacentral:lncRNA from 1 species
CUUAGUACAUUCUCUUUCUCUUCAGGAGUAGUGAGGCCAAAUUAUAUGCUCCAUUGAAAAGAUUGCUCGAAAAAAGUAAUUCAGAUUUAUUUUUUCCUUUCAAUUUUCAAUUUUGUGCAUCUAUGCAGGUUCCUCGGCAAUCAUAUGUCCAGCUAGCUUCAGCCUUCAGAAAUUAAUAGGACAAAAAAUUAAAGGUUGAAGUGACACCUUAAUCAAUUAUAAUCAUGUUUGAGAUCGCAAAAGUAACACUAGUUAUAUUCAUUUACUAUUUUGCUAAAAGUUCCGAGUUCAUAAUCCUACUUCACAAUCUUUCAUAUUUCUUUGUAAAUUCAUUUAAUCGAUUAUAAGCUACUUUUAUAUAUGUGUGUAUGUAUAUAUAUAUAUAUAUAUUAUUUUUUUUUUUUUUUGCUUAAAAGGAAAUUUCAUUAACUCAAAUAAAUACUAUCAAUUGGGGGAUUACUAAUGUCUAAAAAUAACAUUCUUAAUUAAGUUUGACUGUGAGGAGGUAUCGACGCUUCUGGAUUGAGUUAGAGGUAUGUUACAUUUGGACAUUUUCGGUUCACGAUCAUUGUAAUUGUUGGUGUUGGUAAGGAGGAGUGUGGAGACUUGUUGUCCACCACCGAGAUCUUCCAUGAAUGUAAUGUUGGCUGGUAUUAUAUAAAAUUUUAGUUUUCUAAAAAAAAAAACAACAACAUUCUUAAGUCAAAAAGGCCCAUGCUCCUAACAAUAACAGGCUUGCGACAAGGUCAUUGCCAAAAUAGCCACACUGUGAGCUAUUAUAUUGCAUCUCUUCCUGACAUGUUUUCAAGAGAUUAACUCAAACUCGUACAUCUUCGAUUAAACUCACUGCAUCCAAAACUCAUCCAAUCUCACUCAUAUCCCAUUAAGCACAUAAAGGGGUUAGACAUGCCAGCUAUUUGACAGUAAGACAACAUACCAACUCAUUAAAAAUGACUAAUUUCAUCGUUAGAUUUAUAUCAAAUAGUGAUUAAACAUAAUCUUCGUACUCGUCAUAUCCUUGCGAGAAUUUUAUUUUGCUUAAUGGACAACUAGAUGAACAUUAUUGUAUCAAAUAAAAUCUUAACAUAAUCAUUAUCAACUCCACUCAUUAGUUUAUUUAGUGCAUCUCAUUAUACUCUUCAUCCUCUAAUCAACAUCUAAUAUUUGGCCGAGUAUCUGAACCUUAUCUUCCCGUCAAGUCCUUGUCGGAAGUACCAUGGUUUGAUACUGAACUUCAACAGAACCACCUCUGGGUUUGGACUGAAGGUUUUAACCCAAAUAAUACGAGAACAAGAUAAGGCCCAAGGAGCUCUUUGAACCAGAACCUUUAAAAGAGUCCAUGCAAUAUGAGAAAGCCCAAUACAAAAAGUUCCGGCCCAAAUUAAAUCUUUGCACGCCUAUAAAAAACCGCUAAAACGAAAAGAACACACACAAAAAAAGCGGUGGAAAACCAAAAUAUUCGUUUCCCGCGAAUUCCAAAAGCUUAAGGUGCCACGCUGGCGAUCCCCGUGACCUUCCUCUCGACCAAUCAGCGCACACCAUCGCGUCCUAUAUAUAAGAACCCCCACUACCUUCCUCAAUUCAUCUCACAGCAAAAUCCAAAGCCUUUUCUCUCUCUCACAAAUUAGACUAGGUCAUUUUUAGGGUUAGGGUUUUCUUUGAUUUUCGCCGCCGGUUUCUGAAAAUGAGCGGAAAGGAAAGUGGGUCGACUAAGGGAGGUAGGGGAAAGCCAAAGGCUACCAAGUCGGUGUCCAGGUCUAGCAAAGCCGGGCUUCAAUUUCCGGUGGGUAGGAUCGCCCGGUUUCUCAAGUCCGGCAAGUACGCCGAGCGUGUCGGCGCCGGUGCUCCGGUGUAUCUUUCGGCUGUUCUUGAGUAUCUGGCUGCUGAGGUGAGCUUUGAUUUUUUUUGAAUUGAUUUGUGGAUUCGGUUUGGUAAAUUAGGGUUUUGGAAUUGGGGAUCUGGAAUUUAGGGUUUUCGAAUUGGGAAUCUGGGUUUUUGAUUGAUUUGGGUAUUUGUGAGUAAGAUUUGAAAUUUGGUUUUGGGGUUUUGAAAUUAUGCUGAAUUGGUUUAAUUGGGUUUUCAAUGUGCUUUGUUGGUUAGAUUGUUGUUUGUGGAUUCGGUUUGGGAAAUUAGGGUUUUGGAAUUGGGGAUCUGGAUUUUAGGGUUUUGAGAAUGUGGCAGUUUCAGAUGGGUUUGAGUAAAUUUGAUAUUGGGUUUGUUGAAAUGAUGCUGAAUUUGUUUUAUUGGGUUUAUAAUUUUAUGGGUUUUAGAUUUGUUGAUUAAAGUUUUGAUCUUUGGGGUUUUGUGCUGAUUUGAAUUGUGAAUUUGGGAAUUUCAGGUAUUGGAGCUGGCUGGUAAUGCAGCUAGGGACAACAAGAAGAAUCGAAUUGUGCCAAGGCACAUUCAGCUUGCGGUGAGGAAUGAUGAGGAACUAAGCAAGCUUUUGGGGUCUGUGACUAUUGCCAAUGGAGGAGUGUUGCCCAACAUUCACCAAACCCUUUUGCCUAAGAAGGUUGGGAAAGGCAAGGGUGAUAUUGGGUCUGCUUCGCAGGAGUUCUAGGGUUCUUGCUCUGUCUGGUUAUCUCCUUCUGUGGAGAUUUUUAGUUACCCCAGUUGUAAUAUACCAUGGGUUUUGUUAGUGUUUCUCUGAACCUUGUUGGUCUGGUACUUUGGAUCUUAUGCUAUAAAUGAAUGGUUCUGUCAGUAGUUUGAUGAAUUGAAUCUGUGUCAUUUUGGUGUUUAUUAUGGUGCUUUCAGUGGUGUUUAGAGUUCAUUUCAACUUUUCGAGUUCAAAAUGCUUGGUGUGUUGAGAAUGAAUUCCUGAAUUUAACAUGAACCAUCUGCCUCCAACUUUUCAAAGAAGGCACCAAACUAGUCCAAAAUGAAUAUGAUCAAAUGAGAGAUUUUUAGGAACAUUGUGCUCAGUUUGAAUUUUGAACUGUAAAGUGAUUACCCUUGGAAUCCUUGUUUGUAUGAUCUUGGACACAUUGUAGAUUGGGAUUCGGAGCCCUGUUUGGUUUAUUGAACAAAUUGUGUAGUGUUUCAAACUCAAGUUAAUGAAAUUGGUCAUGUACGUCUAAACCCAAGCUAGCAGAGGACCUCAAAUCCCGAGUAUGAGUCCUGCGAAAGCAAAAGCAAUAGUCGUCAACAGGAGUUAAGAAAAUAACUUAAGCUAAAUUAUUGCCGGUCCCACUUGUAGCAUAGUGGUUUGUUGUAAGAAGCAACAACUACUAGCUCAAAGGUUCAACUGGUGACGGGUCUGAUAUCUAAUCUAAAAUACCUUUUUGGUCUUUAGUAUGGUGAUUUCUGUUCAUUUUUAACUUAUCAAGUUCAAAAUGCUUGAUGUGUAGAGAAUGGUUUAUUCAAUAUAGCAUGAACUAUUUGCCUACAACAUUUCAAAGAACGCACUAACUAAUCCAAGAGGAAAAUGGUUGAGAUACUAUUUAUUGUUAGGAACAUUCUGCUCUCUUGUGAACUCUCAGUUAAUUACACUUAACAAAUAGAGGCUUGGAUUCUAUGUUUUGAUGAUCUUGGAUACAUUGUAGACUUGGAUUUCAUGUUUGGUUCUUGAAAUUGUGGAGUGUUUCAAAUUCAAGUGUAUAUUCACACAGAAAUAUGUCAUGGAACGCACUAGUCGUCAUGUUUAGUGGAUAAGAAAAAAAGUUAUUCUCAAUUAUUAUCGAUCCCCCUCAUAGCAUAGUGGUUGGUUAUAUAAUUCAACAUUCACUAGCGCAAGGGUUCAAUUGGCAUGAGUUUCAAGACGAACCACCAUGCUCUUAAGGUAUUCUAAAAUAACUCUUUUUCUCAUAAUAACCAUUAUCUUUUUCCCUAUUUUUAUUUACUUUUUCAAUGUGUGUUGUUGCCUUGUUGGUACUGGGAGGGUAGUGAUGUGUUGUGAAUUUCCUUUGAAUGAGCACUCAACUCAGAUUUCCCACUUCUGGAAUCACACUAUGGUGUUUAGGGCUCAUUUCAACUUCAACUUUAAAAUGCUUGAUGUGUUGAGAAUGGUUUCUUCAAUUUAACAUGAACCGUUUGCCUCCAACAUUUCAAAGAAGGCACUAACUAAUCCAAAAUGAAGAAUAUGAUUGAAAUAUUAGAUUGUUAGAGCAUUUGCACCAAUGUGCCAAUUCAGUAGGCAAUUGAUAGUACCCAUUAAUUUUCUUCAAAUAUAGCAAUGCACCGGUUCGAAAUUGCCCAGACAAUUUGUUGGGGCCUAUGUUACAGAAAUUGUCAUGCCAAUUCAAUUGUCAAUUUGUGACCAUCUAAGUGCUCAAGCAAUUCACUAGAGCCCAUUGAUAAAUAUAAACUUUGCACACUCAUAUAUGCUUUUUGCCUCUAAAAACUGAUAUUUUUUCACAAAAUAAUUAAUGUUGUACGAUUAAUCUCAGUAGUAAUUAACCAAAAUAUAAGUUUAACAUUUUUAAUUAAUGAAUUACUAUUACCAAAAAGAAUAUUUUAAAUUAUAAAAUGUGAAUAGUGGAUUAGCAGGUAAAUUGCCUUAAACUAGUGCAUUGACAAAGAAUAUGCAAUUGUCAAUUUCAUAUGAAUAGUGAAUUAGCAUGGGCAAUUCAAUUGACAAAUCAACAAUUGCUCUUCUAACGGGUGCAAAUGCUCUUAGGAGUGACUAAUUACCCUUAACAAACAAGGGGCUUGGAUUCUUUGUUUGGAUGAUCUUGGAUACAUGGUAGAGUGGAGAUUGGAUUCCUUUUUGGUUCUUGAAUAAAUUGUGGAGUGUUUCAAACUCGAGUGUAUAAAUUACAUAAACAAACCCAAGCAGAAUCCCAGUUUAAAAGAGAAGGCAAAAGAUGUCCCUGAAAAAGACCUACUAAUAUAAAGUGAGCAUACGUACCUACUGCCGAUCCCCUUGUAGCGUAGUAGAUGGUGCUAUAUGCAACAUCUGGCUCGUGGGUUCGACUGGCAUCAAAAUAUUUCCAACAACAAAGCGAGUCUCAUGAGGUGUUUUAAAAUACCUCUUUUUUUUGCCUUCUUUGAAAUGACUGCGAUGAUAAUAUAAGACAAAGAUAGUUUGACACUACUCAUUUUGUGUGGCUCAGACGACCACAUAGCAACCAUUCUCUUUUCCCAAAUUUUUUUAUUUUUCAUGUGUUUUUCUGGUACUGGAAGGGUAUGGUGAUGUGUUGUGGAUUUUGUUUGAAUGGGUACUUUGAUGCAUUGCUUAUCAUCUAAACUGAGAUUUCCCACUUCUGGAAUCAUAUUAUGCUCAUCAUCCUCUGAGAUUAGUGUGUCAAGGCAGCAAGUUUUGAAGCAAGUGGAUAAGCAGUUGGCUAAAGGGGAUGAGAGGGCAGCUCUCUCCCUUGUUAAAGAUUUGCAGGGCAAGCCUGGUGGCCUCAGAUGCUUUGGUGCUGCUAGGCAGGUUAACUUCACUUGUAUAUUGUACCGUUCUAGUUGGUUUUUUUAAAACUAUAUCAAUAUUGGUAAUGGUUAUGUGUCAGCUUUGAUGUUAUGUUGCAGCUAUGUGUGAUGUUAAGGUUUGGGAUUUGAUUCAUUUGUGCAGGUGCCUCAAAGGCUUUACACUUUGGAUGAGCUGAAGCUGAAUGGAAUAGUAACACAGUCGCUUCUGUCACCGGUGGAUACUACUCUUGGUUCCAUAGAAAGAAACCUUCAGAUUGCUGCUGUGGUAGGAGGUGUUUCUGCUUGGAACGUUUUUGGGUUUACUCCUCAGCAGCUUUUCUACGUCUCUUUAGCAGCAUUGUUUUUGUGGACUCUGGACGCGGUAAGUUCCUUAUGCAGCAUGAUGCUGGCCUUGAAAACUAAUGCCAUUGAAUUUGAUUAUCUUGAGGCACUUUCAAUUGUCUUGUUUGAAGUCAAUUCAAUAUGAUACUUGAUGUCACCAAAUCCUGUAGAUUUCUUUCAAUGGAGGAGUUAGUAGCUUGGCUAUUGAUACAAUUGGUCACACCUUUAGUCAGAAGUACCGCAAUAGAGUCAUUCAGGUAAGAUCUCUCUCACAUUUCUAUGGUAAUCAGUCCACGCAAGACUGAUUAAUUUGCAUAUGCUAGUUCCAGGAUAUAAUGCUGCCAGUUUCAAUUAAUUUUACGUUCUUUUUUAACUAUCUGUUUCAUUGUCCGACUUCAUUUUUUUGAGUCAAGUUACUUCUUUGUGUGCACUACCUAUCAGGCGGUAGGUCUGGAAGCUUUGUGCCAUGUAUGAAAUGAGGGGGGAUAUAAUGGAGAGUUUAUCUAAAACGAAUUUUCUUGUGCAGCAUGAAGCUGGCCAUUUCUUGAUUGCUUACUUGCUUGGUAUUCUCCCGAAGGGAUAUACACUAACUAGUCUGGAUGCGUUCAAGAAGGAAGGGUCUCUCAAUGUUCAAGCAGGGACAGCGUUUGUGGAUAUUGAGUUUGUUGAGGAGGUAAUGUUGUUUCUGAUCUCAAAUGCACAGGUGUUCUACAAUCAUGUCCGUCCUGCUUCUGUAAUUGCUUUCUGCGCUUAUUAGUUUCUAGUAGGCAUUUUAAAUGAUGUGAAUCGUGUGAUGUAAGUAGUCCACUACCUUUAACAUAUAGCUUAAUGUACAGUCAGACAUAUAUAACUGGUUGAUCAAGUGCUGAUUUUAUAUAAGAAAUGUGAAACUAACAAGUGAUGAGAAAUUCAUUUACGCACUUCAAUUACAGCUGGCUCAGUAGUAUAGUCGUUCAUGGGAUAUAAAAACCAGUACAAUUGCCAUGUCAAAGAGGAGAGGACGUAGUGAAACCAGUCAGACAGGAGUAGUGCAGUUUAAUUGUAGAUUGUAUUAAUUGUGAAACCAUUGUCAAUGUACAACAUUGGUUGAUAAUGACCUUGAUUUACAGUAGCUCCCAUUCCCUGCAGGUUAAUGCAGGCAAAGUAUCAGCAACUGUACGUUUUCUACCUCUCGUCUCGAAAUUUUCAAAUUUCAUCUUCCUUCCUUGAAAUGAGACAAGUUCAUGAAUUAGGAAUGCAUCUUAUUAGACGCUGAACAGAUUUGCGUGCAUAGCGCUCGCGGGUGUUGUCGCUGAGUAUCUUCUUUACGGUUAUGCUGAGGGUGGUCUAGCUGAUAUAAACCAGGUUAAUAUAUCACCAGAAUUCUUUUACUUGGCAAAAAGUAAGGUUAAUGAAAUAAUGCAAGACGUUACUAACUGAAUCUGUAUGAUUUUGAACAGCUGGAUUCACUGCUUAAAAGCUUAGGCUUUACACAGAAGAAAACUGAUUCACAAGUCAGAUGGUCUGUACUAAACACUGUCUUAAUCAUGCGGCGCCAUGAAGCAGCACGAGCUAAACUCGCAGAGGCGAUGGCAGAAGGAAAAUCCGUAGGAUCCUGCAUCGACAUCAUAGAGAAUACCAUAGGCGAUGCAGACAUCUAGUGCAGCUGGCCAGGUUGCUUUUAUUGAUACUCAGGAAAGCUUUGCGGGUUUAUCUCCUUAUGUGGAGAUGUUUAGUUGCCUCAGUUGUAAAAUACCAUGUGUGCUAGGGGGUACUCUUUUAACCUUGUUGUUCUGGUACUUUGGAUCUUAUGCUAUAAAUGAAUGGUUAUGUUAGUAGUUUGAUUAUUGGAUUUGCUUGUAGUCAUUUUGGUAACCUUUUUAUUUUAUUUUUAUAAAAGAGUCAUUUUAGUCUUUAAUAUAGUGAUUACUGAUUACAGUUCGUUUCAAGUUUGCAAGUUCAAAAUGCUAGAUGCGUUGUGAUUUUGUUAAUGGUUUCUUCAAUUUAGCAUGAACCCUUUGCCUCCAACAGUUAAAAGAAGGCACUAACUAAUCCAAGAGGAAUAUGAAUGAUUGAAAUAUUAGCUUGUUUGGAACAUAUCUAGUGCUCUACACAAUUGAAAUUUUCAACUGUCAAGUAACCCUAUACAAACUUGAAUUCCUUGUUUGGAUGUCCUUGGAAAGUGUCUAAUUACCAGAAAAUCAGAACCCUAGCAGAGGACCACAAAAUCGAAGCAUCAAUCCCAGUUUGUGAGAAAGAGCAAUAGUUGUCUGUAAAGUUUUAAAGUUAGCCAAGUUGUUGUCGGUCUCCGUUGUGUCGUAGUGGUUUGUUGUGAGAGUCAACAUCUCAUAGGUCGAGGGUUCGACUGGCGUUUAGGGUUUAAAAUCUUAUAUAAGGUAUUCUAAAAUACCUCUGUUUUGACUUUCGACAUGCAUUGCUUCCCACCUGCUCAUAAUUAGUGUGUCAAGGUUUUUUUUUUUUUUUUUUUUUUUUUUCUUGAAUUUGUUUGUUGGUAGUGGGAGGACUGUACAGCCCACAUGUGAAUUUUGUUUUAGUGAGUACUUUGAUGCAUUGCUUAUCAAAUAAACCCCAACUGAGAUUUCCCACUUCUGGAAUCACACUAUGCUCGUCAUCCUCAGAGGUUAGUGUGUCAAGCCAGCAAGUUUUGUAGCAAUUGGAUAAGGACUUGGCUAGAGGGGAUGAGAGGGCAGCUCUCUACCUUGUUAAUGACUUGCAGGGCAAGCCUGGUGGCCUCAGAUGCUUUGGUGCUGCUAGGCAGGUUAGUAUUGUACCAUUCAUGUUGGUUUCGCAAACUAGAUCAAUAUUGCUAAUGGUUAUGUGUCAUCUUUGAUGUUAUGUUGCAGCUAUAUGUAAUGUUAAGGUUUGGGAUGUGAUUCAUUUGUGCAGGUGCCUCAAAAUGGUUAAGACUUAGGAUGAGCUGAAGCUGAAUGGAAUAGUAACACAGUCUCUUCUAUCGCCGCUGGAUACUACUCUUGGUUUUAUAGAAAGAAACCUUCAGAUGAACAGCAUCAAUAUCAAAUACACGGUUCUAAGGGAAUUCGAAGAUGAAAUAUCAUAAAAUCGUAGAUGCAUAUUUAAAAAAAAAACUGUGCAAAAUCAUGAUCAUCUGAUCUGCUAACUACUGCACUAAAGCUACUACCAAACUUGGGUAAUGACCCCUUUUAUGAUCCAAAUUAAUAACACCAAAUCAAAGGCUUGAAAAUUUUACACCAUCCCUAUACAAUCCAAGACUAAAAGAAUCCAACUGAGAUUGUUAUCCCCAAUAUCCAAAUUAUUUACGGAUACGUAUCCAGACAUAUCAAACGCGUAUCGGAGCGUAUAGCGACCGUUUCCGCCGGUUCCGACCAUAGCAGUGCCUAGCCAGUGCCCUAAAGGUUAAGAAUCUGUUAUCGGACACGGAAGAGUACGGCAGGAAACGGCCCGAUACGUCGGGAUACGUAUUCGUAAAUAAAUUGAAUCGUGGGGGUAAUACUGACUUUCGCAUUCCAAAUGGUAAGAGUAGAAAAUUCAUCGUUGGGCGGGUAGAAGAUUCCAAACUCGCGAUUCUUUCAUCUCUGCAACAAAACAACAUCAUAGAAUAGAAUAGAAGUCAGAGAGAGAGAGAGAGAGAGAGUUUGAGAUGGGCGUACAGUGGCUUCUGGUGUGUCAUGGUUUACUUACUCUACUUGUCUUGGUCUCUUUCCUCUGCGGCAAUUGGCCCAUCUUCGACGGCACUCCAAUCCAACGCAUCAAUCACUUCCUCACCUUCGGCAUCUGCGAUUACUUCCAGUUAAUCUCUUUCUGUCUCUCAUUCUGUUUUGUUCUGUUUUGGUCUAUCAGGUUUUUAAUUUGGUUCCUGAUUUCCAGGCGGUUUGUUGGGUUUGUGUUUGGGGCGAAGGGGACCAAUGCGAUUCAGACUGUCGAGUAUUUCUGCUGUGAUCGACCCAAUCCAACUUUGCAGGUAUCGAAUUGGGUUUAAAUUGGUUGUGAAUUCUGUGUCUUUUUUGGAAUCUGUGGUCCGGGUUAGUGACUAAGUGUACAUUUUUUGUCGAUAGAGUGUUGGUCUUAUAAGAAUUAUUUUGAGGGUAUGAUAGCGAUCACUAGUCAUGCAUUGAGAAGUGAUCGAUAGUUGGUAAGCUUGCGAGAAUGGGAGUAUGCGGUGUGGUUUGGUAGGGGGUAUUAAGAAGAAGCUGGAGGAAGGAAAGUUUGAGUUUUCAGUGUUGGUGUCAAAUCAUUUUGCUUUGCGAGCCUGGGAUGAGUGAAAUGCAUAAGAUAUCUCGUUUUUGAAAUUUAGUUUAGCUAAUUAGAGAAAUUCGUAGUGGAAUAGUAAAAUUUGUAUAGGAAAGAUUUGUCUUUCUCUAUGAUUCGGGACUAAUCAUUAGGAUUUUUUGUUUUGAUGCAGGUUAUAUAUCUUGCUAUUAUUGGAGGAACCUAUUACUUAGUUGCAACUUCUUCCUUUCAUUAUAUUCCUGGCUAUUAUAUAGGUGAAGUCCAUAGGUAUGUCAAGGAGUUGUAGACUACUCCCUCACUCUAAUCUCUCUAUCUCUCUCACUCUCGCUGCCAGUUUUAGUACAUAACUCCAUAGACAAAUUGGUGUUCUUACAGGUACAUAAGCUUCUUGGCUGUUGGUGUCGGUGUUCUGCUAUUUCUAUUAACUAGCCUUUCCGAUCCGGGAACAGUGAAUUCUGAUAAUGUUUCAGAUUAUCUCUCUGCUUACCCGUAUGACAAUGUGAUAUAUAAUGAGAAAGAAUGUUCAACUUGCAAAAUUCCAAAGUGAGUCCUACCUCCACCUUUCUCCCUCUCAGUUGUUUUAGCUGUUUCUCUAAGGUUUUCUUUCUCUGUACUAAAUUUCUUCCUUCUCUGUGGUUCAGACCUGCGAGGUCUAAGCAUUGCAGCAUAUGUGGUCGCUGUGUUGCUCGCUUUGACCAUCAUUGUGGAUGGAUGGUUUGAAAUUCUCCACUCUUCCUCCUUUGGUCUUCCUCCCUAUAAAUUCUGCAUUCUGUAUGGUGCUUAUUGUAAUUUAUUAUCGGGUUUGAUUGCAGAAUAAUUGUAUAGGUGAGAGAAACAUCCAUUACUUCAUGGCUUUUCUUUUGUGGUAAGUGCUAUCUCCUGCAGCAAUACUGUGUGAUUGUAUGUGGCCUUUUGUGGUUUACAUUGCCUAUCCUGCCCAAAACCCAAUUGAGAGGUCAACACUGGGUUACAAUGGGCACCAAAUCAGUUUCUUGCGGUUGAUAAUUUAGAAUCUUCAUUACAGUGUUAGCACGAAUAACAGUUGGAAUAGUUUUACAUGUUUUCUAUGAGGUUGAAAUUUGUGGUUUGAUUUACCUUCGCGAAACUCACUAUAAACUUCUCCAUAUUUCCUUACAAAUUGCAUAAAUCUGUCAGCUAAACGGUGAAUUUGAGAUGUUUAUCUUUUGUGUCUUACUUGGUUACCUGUUCAACUUUAUUUUAAAUUGGAUAACUGUACUAUGCUCUUUUUGUUUGAUGUUAUGCAUUUCUUUUUUCUCAGGCACACUUUACUCUGCAUAUAUGGAACAGUUGCCGUUGGGUUAAUUCUAGCUGGUCAAGUUAGAGAAUUUAGAGUUAUUGAUAUUCUAAUUGGUAAGCUAAGUUGCAUUUCAAGUCACGAAAACAGUUGAUGCUUGUGUUUCUUGUGUACCUAAGUGACAUUCUUUUCACCAAUUUCUUUUUUGCAGUUUAUUAUCGUGUAGAGAAUUCAUUUAUUAGUUUAUCACCACAUGUAAUACAGGUGAGCUAAUUAUAUAAUUUUGGCAAUUCAGGCAAGUAAGAAUUUUCAUUUUUGUUAUUCAGAAAACAUUCCUAUUUCAUAUUUAUAGAAAUCAAUGUAUAUCAGUUUUGAAUAUCAAUACUAGGAACCUUACUGUUGUCCUGCUGGCGUGUGUUCCACUUGUUCAAAUAUGUUAUUGUAAAUGAAUAUAGCAAGUGAAAAGUUUUUAAAGAAAUAUUUUGUCCUUCUGUUCAAUGUCAAGCUGACAUCCUGAACUUCUAGGUAUCCCACUUGUGUUCUGGGUGCAACAUAGUGAAAGAAAUCAUCUUUACAUGAAUAUGAGACUGCUUGACUAUGUGCAUCUUUUCCUUUUCUCAACCGUAAAGCUCAAUAUAUGAUAGAUGCAAUGCAUCUGAACUGUUAUAUGUCAAUGAACUAGAAAGAGCCUGGGGGUACAUGAUCAAUUUUCGAAUGUACCUUUUAUUAAAUAGGUGGCGGCUGAACUUGAUAGUAAAAAAGUUCACCUACAUCCGUGAUCUGCAAAACGUAAAGUGUUCUAUAGUUGAGCCUUUCAAUUGUACAGAGUGGCUACUUUUUGCAUAUUUAGUUAUGAUAUCAUUUUAUUGUGCAUUUUUCCUCCUCACAUAACUCAUUUAAUUCUUUUUUGAUGUUUGACAGUGGUUGGUGGGGGCAUACAAUACUCAAAUACUACUGAUGAUGUUUCUUGCAAUAGUGGCAUUGUUAAUCGCGGGUUUCUUUGGUUACCAUGCAAAACUCUGUCUCACAAAUACUACCACCAACGAGGUUUUGUUCUCUGUCCGACUUUGUUUAAUAACUUAGUUUGUCAUUCCUCUUACUUUCAAAUGGGAGUUUAGAGGUAGUCAGUAAGGAUGUGGGGAUAGUUUAUUAGGUCACAUUUCUCAGACAGAAUCACUCACUUAGUAAAAGAAAUAAAUGUGGUUGCAUCUACUGUAAUAUGCUCUUUCUAUUCUGAUGAAAUUAUAGAGCUUGCCUGCUGAGAAUUCUCCUAUAAUGUGGGUAUAUCAUGAAGUUAUACAUUAGUUUAUAGUGAGACUUCAGACUGGCAAUCAAGUAGUCACUUCAAUUCACAUUAUGAUUAGGUUGUCUAGAACUGCUAAUAUAUAAAGAAACAUUAUCUGGAUAGAACUGCAUGUGUCAUAGCUGAAACAUGAGAACUAACUACGUGCUGUUUUGAAACAGACUUUCAAGUGGCAAGACUAUAUAAACUGGCAGCGGAAGCUGAGUGAAGCAAAGGCGAGUUCUGCAGCACUCAAAGCAAGUAUUAAUGGGAUAACUAGUGAAAGAAAACCUCCAGAGAGCAAAUGGAGAACCCUAUUCCGAAGAUCUCCACUCGAAGAUGUCGAGGUUGUGGUUAAGAAUAACAUUUAUGAUAAAGGGUUCUUUCAGAAUUUUCUUGAGAUCAUCUUCCCCCUAUCGAGAAGAAGGGUGUAUGCCAACACCAAAUUAAAGUCUGGCUAAAGUAGACUGCUGUCCUUUCAAUGUUGAAUGCAUUGCUCCUUCAUGUUUCUUUGAGCAAUGGAGAAUGGCUUCAUACCCUCUGUUGCAAUUACCUCAUGCUUAAACAGCCAGCUUCAUCAUGAGAACGGGUUCUGAUUCAGCAAGAUGAGAUGCUUUGGCGUUUAUGUGCUGCGGCGGACUGCUUGUCUUUGGCAAUUCUCAAGGAUAGAUGAAGCACAGGUAGAAUAGUCAUACAUUUUUGUUAUCUUGGCAAUUGGCUUAGCAGAAUUUCAUUGUAAAGCUGGCCUUGUUUUUCAUUUGUUGUAACAUGAUAGUUUUAGUGGACAAUGAUCUGAUUGAUCCUUACGUUUAAACUAAAGAAAUAUGAUGUUUGUGUUACUAAAUCGCAGAACAAAAAGGGUAGGUUGUGUUGGUAAAAGUGAUUGGUAGGAGAACAGACUGCUAGACAUGCACAACAUCAAUGUCAUGCAUAAUUGAUUCAGAACAGUGAUGAUAUUGGCCACAAUUCAAUCCAGAACAUAGUCAUAACACUGAUUUAUUAACUCGUGCGAUCAUUUUUAUGUCGAAUUUUCUUCUUUGGAUCUAGCAGAAAAUAUACGAAAGGAACUGAAAUAAAGGAAAGGAUCCAUAUCUUUUUGCUCAAACUAAUGACUUUACAUUAAUUUGCUGCCAACAGCUAGCUGUAUGCCGAAAUGUUUCGAUUGAUAACAACAAUGCCACUGGCCCAGCAGACAAAUACAAGAGAAAACAUUACAUUGAAGAAACCUGAAAUGAGCUAUGGUUUUGGGAAACUUUUUUGUCCGGGAGCGAGGACUGCCAUCGGAUCAAAGCGAGUCUUGUGCUCAACGAAUCAACUCCACUGAUUCCCGAAAUGCCCCUUUCAUUAUUCUUACGGUAUAUUGGUACUUUGGUAGUGCGGCAGAUGCAAUUUGGAGUCGAAACCUUGAUUCAGACUUUCACAGGACGGGCCUUUCAGCUAUGCCGGAGUGAACCGCAAGAAAACCAGCACAAGACCUCAUUUGUGGGUAACACCAUGCGUGCGAGCAUCCCACCUAAUAACAGUAAUCAAUAACUGUUGGUAAGCUACUACAGAAGGGUAUUUUCAUACUUUUAACUUACAUAAAAUUUCAUAACACCACUAUAUAUGUAGGACUUACUUGUUACACACAAGAGGGAAGAGGCGCAUGGAGCCACCAAUGCCGUACUUGAGGAUGUUCGUGUCGAAUCUCGACACAAUGAGGUUCAACCAUAACCAAGGAUGUGAAGAGUCCCAAAUUCUCCUUGUCUUGGCGUGCUUCUCUUCCUCAAGGACGUGUUGACAUAAUCGAACGAGUCGUCGCCGUGGUCAUGAGUGAGUUGCGACUGGGCGUGGCGGGUGAAGGCGUCGAACUCGGUGUACACUAGCCUUAUCCACCUCACCUAAUCAACAUUAAUAAAAACAAAAAUCGAUCAGCUCAUGCAACUCUAAUUAAUGGGAUCAAAGACAAAUGUUGGGGGAUGAAGGUAAGCAAAGAGAGUAGCAGUGAAAUAGUAAUUCGAACCAUGUCCGGGGCUUGCUGGUGAUAAUACCGAACUGACCAAGUUCGCCAAGAACUGGCCAUGCCCGCCAAGAACAGAAAAGAAGAGCUCCGAGUUGGAAGCCUGCUGGCCUGAGACAACGUCGUAGGGCCAGGAUUCGGUGUCGUCUUCGUUUUCUUGGACCAAACACUCCAAGUGAGCCAUAAUCUUGGCCGGAGAAGAAAGAUUUAAAUUUCUCCGGUAGAGAUUAGAUUCUCUCUCUCUAAAGCAAGAAGCUACUACUAGAACUCUAGAAGAUCUCUCUCUAAAGCAAGAAGGUUUGUAACUUGGUUGGUUUUUUUGGAUGAGAAGUUUAGGGAUUAAAUAGGCAACUGCUGCCCCGAUUAAUUAUUAUAUAGUAGAAAAUAGUAUUUGGAGUCAUCCUGCCUUUAACUUUAUGCACCGUAAUUCCAUGAUAUUAAUAUUUGUUCAAUUUGAAUCAUCUCAUGCUUGAUCUUUUCUGCUUGAGCAAGAAAACCAGUAGCGCUAUUAUUACAAUGCCUGCCUAGAGUAGCACUCUACAGAUCUGUAUAGUAUUACCCUUGGAAAUUAAGCUUGCAUUAUUGUCCUGUCCUAUCGGAGGUGGCCUGGAAAGAAGUCCUCCAGCUACCAGCUAGAGCUAGUCACCGCCCUUUAAUUUGCAGUAGGCCGGUGGGUGGACAUGUAUACGCAGCAUUGUAUGUAAUGUAGUACUCCCUCGGUCCCUCCUACAACGCCUAGCUACCCUUUAACUUUAUGCACUGUAUUAUUGCACCCAUUGUUAGUUUUGACAGUGAGUGAGUGACCAUUCCCUGAAAAGAUGAUGCAUGGCGUGGGAGUGUGGGACUGGGAGGAGGAGUGCUAGCUUUUAGGUACUUCUUUGAGUGAGAAUGCUGUAUAUGGCCCCUAUCGAGAGAAGAAGGGUGUAUGCCAACACCAAAUCAAAGUCUGGCUGAAGUAGACUGCUAUCCUGUCAAUGUUGUAUGCAUUGCUCCUUGCUCCUUCAUGUUUCUUUGAGCAAUGGAGAAUGGCUUCAUACCCUUUCUUGGGAAUUCUUGCAAUCACCUCAUGCUUAAACGGCCAGCUUCAUCAUGAGAACGGGUUCUGAUUUGGCAAGAUGAGAUGCUUUGGCUUGUUGUAAAAUUACUGCAAUGUGCCUAUGGGCUGCGGCGGACUGCUUGUCAUUGGCAAUUCUCAAAUCUCAAGGAUAGAUGAAGCACAGGUAGAAUAGUCAUACAUUUUUGUUAUUUUAGCAAUUGGCUUAGCAAAAUUUCAUUGUAAAGCUGACCUAGCUUGUUUUUCAUUUGUUGUAAUAUGACAGUAUAGACUUAUAGUGGACAAUGAUAUAAUUAAUCCUUAUGUUGAAACUAUAAAUUAAUAUGAUGUUUGUGUUACUAACUCGUAAAACAAAAAGGGAUGCAAAUUUGCUGACUACCCUUAUUUAUCCAUCCUUAUGCCUAUCACAUAGAUUUGAUGUCAGAGCAUCUCCAACAGCUACUCUAUAAUUUCUCUAUUAUAGGGAAGCAAAAGUCAAUGCUCCAAACAAUUUUUCUUCUACAACUCCAACAAAUUCUCUAUUUUGGAGAUUUCAAGAUGAUUCCCCAAAUCCUUCUAUAAAAUUUGGAGAAUACUGCUGAUUUGGGGAAUUUGGGUUUCUCUUUCAUCACAUUCCCCAUUUUGGAGAAAGUUUUAGAGAAUCUGUUGGAGCAAAACACCCAAAAUCUUCUCCAAAUUAGAGAAUUUCAAGAAUUUGGAGAAGCCGUUGGAGAUGCUUUUCUCUUAACCAUCUCAAAUCAUGGUUAACUAUAUAAAAUUUUAAUAAUAAAAAUUAUGCUUUCUUUUAGUUUUAAUAUUAACUCACUUAUCAAAAAAUUUAGAAAAUCUCCAAGUAUUUUGUGGACUCCAAGACUAUAAUUCCCAAAAAAAAAAAAAAAAAAAAAAAAAGAAAGGACUCCAAGACCAAAUUCAGACGAUUUCGAGUAAACCCAGACGUUUCUUUUGGCUUUCACUUCCCUUCUCUCAAAAAUAAGGGGUAUAUGCAAAUUUUUCUGUAAGUUUUCUGAAUGAAACAUUGAUUUUUUUAUCUCAUUGUGGGAUUGCUUUAGUCUUACUAUCUGUAAACCCAUGCCUCUCGUUCGUGUUUUUGUCGAUUAAUUCUUAUUUGUAUUAACACUCACAAUGACAUGUUAGCAUUCACAUCAGUUGAAGAAAUAGAUUUUCCAAAUGCCGAGAAUGGUAUGCUUGGUCCAGACUAGAAUAUUGUUUUCUUGGUCUAGAUACUUAAGCUUUUAUUAGAUUUAACCUUCAAAUGCUCGACUUUGUUGGGUCGAAUCUAAAAAGUUCCAAAACUGAUAGUGGUUUUGGUUGAAUCUCCAAGAGCUCUUGACAGUAUGAUUGAAUCAAGGACUUUUCUCUGGAUUUAGCAGAAAACAUAUGAAAGGAACUGAUCGAAAGGAAAGGAUCCAUACCUUUUUGUUUCAAACUAAUUACUCUACAUUAAUUUGCUGCCAAUAGCUAGCUUCUUUGCCGAAAUGUUCAAUUGAUAACAACAAUGGCACUGGCCGACAGGAAAACACAAGAGGAUAAACAUUACUGAAGAAACUUAAAAUGACAAUGACUAUUAGCUCUAGCUAGCUAUGGUUUGCUAAUAAUUCUUGAGAAAAUUUUCUGUCCGGAGCGAGGAUUGCCAUCAGAACAAAAACCGAGAUUAAUUACGUGAUGCUCCUUCAUGCGUUAAUUUGAAAGCUGAUAAAAGACUUUCUUGGAGUAAGACUUUUGUUCAGGUUUUCUUUUUCCGAGCAAAUACAAAUCUUCGUAAGAACCUCCAACUCUAUGACAUUGAAAAUCUGCAAGUUAUUACGGAAAGACUUGAUGAAGAAGAGGGUAAACGAGCAUGGGUCUACCAAUGCCGUUCUUGAAGAUGUUCUUAUGGCCUUGAUGUGCUGCUCUUCCUUAAAGAUGUGCGGACAUAAUCGAACAAGUCGUCGUUGUGGUCAAGAGUAAUUAGCGACUGGGCGUGGCGGGUGAAGGCGUCCAACUCGGUGUAGCCCAGCCUUAUCCACCUCAUCUAAUUACCAUUAAUAAAAACAAACAAAAAAACUGGUCAGCUCAUGCAGCUCGAUCUAAUGAAUGGGAUGAAAGACAAAUGUUGGGGGGAGGGUAAGCAAAGAGAGUAGCAGUGAAAUAGUACGUAAUACCAACCAUGUCCGGGGCUUGCCGGAGCAAGACUCUAGCUCUGGUGCCCAGUCCGACAAGACCGGAAAACAAGAGCUCCGAGUUGGAAGCCUGGCCGGUGACACCAGCGUUGGAUAAAAUGCCGAAAUCUUUGGCCGCUUGGAGGUCGGAGGCGACGUCGUAAGGCCGGGAUUCGGUAUCGUUUUCGUUUUCUUGGAGCAAACAGUACUCCAAGUGAGCUAUCAUCUUGGCCGGAAAACAAAGUUUUUGGGUUUUGCGGUUAAAUUUUUCCGGCUCUCUAUUUAAAGCAAGAAGCUACUACUACAAGAUCUCUCUCUCUCUCUCUCUUUCUCUCUAAAGCAAGAAGCUUGAAGCUUUGUGACUUGGUUGGUUUUUUUUGGAUGAGAAAUUUAGGGUUUAAAUAGCCGCUGCCCUGAUUAAUUAUUAUUUAGUAGAAAAUAAUUUUUGAAGUCAUCCUACCUUCAAUAAUCAAUAUAUACUGUUGUCUGUUAGGGUUAUCCUAUCGUCCUUUAACUUUAUACACUGUUUGUAAUUAACUUUGUAUUUUUCAUGAUAUUAAGGGACGUGACCUUUAAUUUGUGCUUCAUAGUGCACUGCUAUCCAUGAUAUAUCACAACCCUAGAACUACAAGGAACAAUUUUAAAAACCAAUAGCACUAUACAGUAGUACAGUAGUACUCUGCAGAUCUAUAUACUAUCAUCCUUGGAAAUUCAAGCUUGCAUUGUCGGAUUGUCCCAUCGCUCAGAGGUGGAAAGAAGUCCUAGCUAGCAGCUAGUCACCAUUUAAUUUGCAGUAGCCCGGUGGUGGACAUGACCAUUCCCUGAAAAGAUGAUGCUCUGCGUGGGUGGGACUGGGACUGGGAGGAGUGCUUCAAGGUAUACUUCUUUGCAGUGAUAGGUGAACACUCAAAUUGCUAAUUUGAAGCAGAAGAUGAUUGAACUAAAUUACAAUUAGCAGAUAAUUGGAAUCCAAGUCAUUGUUCAGCCACAAACUUAAUAGGUUCUUCAAGAGUCAUAUCAUGCACAAGGUUCAAAACUCCAUCUUUCUGCUUUGUGAUAAUGAGAUUCUCAUGAGCAUGUUGCCUUCUUCUGUCAAUUUAUACAACACAACCAAUUUGGAAUAUAAACCAAUGUCUUCUCCACUUUCUCAUAUAUUAAAAAUUGACUAGCAAGAACAUUGUCUCUCUUAUAUGCACCAAGAGAUUGCCGCGCCAGCUCUGUUCUCAACAACUGUAUGGUCUGGUAUUCGAUCUUAUACGUGUUGAAUGUAGUACUUGAAACCGAUGCAAAAGUUAGAGUUUUCUUCUACCGUAGAAAAAAAUAUAUGCUAAAUUUGUCUUGCUCUGCCAUUUAAUGUGAUUAAUCUUCAUGCAUGUUUGUGUCAAUUUAAUCCAGUUUGACCACAGUUUCUUGUUGUUGCAGGGUGCAAUUAGGAAAAGUUUUUCAUGUAAAGAACAGCAACAUGUACUACCAGUUGACAGAUUUUCAGAGCUUUAAUUAGACGAAGAGAAGUGAGUUAGAGAUGUAAGAAAUAAGAAGAUGAUAUUACAGGUUAGAGAUCCCAGUGCCAUAGGUGCUGGUGGUGUUAAUAAUGUUGGUGGUGGUGCGUACGGUGGUGGUGGAGCAGCUUUUAUUCUUAGGGGAGGUGACAAUGGUGGCCGCCUAGUGAAUUCCUCCAUGUAAUUUACUCUCUACUAAAGGGUCUCGCGCCGCCUUACUGUUCUUGAGGGAACUUUUUGCGCAGCUUCCCCAAAAUUUUUCUAAAAUAGAGAAGUAAAAGCUAAAUUCUCCAAAAAAAUUAUGAUCAAAAUUCAGCAGCUUCUCCAUUUUGGAGAUUUCGGCAUUUAAUACAACAAUAAAAUAUAAUAUAUCAUCAUAAAUUAUAACAAAAAAACAUUAUAUAUUUCAUUGUAACAAUAAACUACCCAAUCAAAUAUUUUAUUGUUGUUUUAAAUUCGUUGGAGUACGUGAAGAAUUUAAUUUUGGGAAAGGAAAGUUUUGCUACAAAUUUGGAGAAUGAAGGCUUUUUUUUCUUCUUCAUCCCCAUUUUGGAGAAUGGGAUGGGGAAGCUAUUGGACCUAAACAUCUAUAUAUUCCCCAAAAUUGAGAAGUUUAAGAAAAUGGGGAAGCUGUUGGAGAUGCUCUAAAUGUUUGAGACGCGCGUCACACAAACCCUUUUUUUUCUAUGCGCUCUUUGUUUUUCGUCUCUCUCUCUCUCUUCUUCUUUGCUCUCUCUUUUCCGAUUGAACUGAUCGGUCUGAUCCAUUUGAUCAAAUUUGGGGAUUAGGUUAAGCGAUCAGAGAUAUUUGAAGGAUUGAGCUCGAGGUAAACUUUUGAUUUGGUUAAUUGAUUGAAGGUUGAAUCUCAGCAAAUUAUUUAGGGUUUUGAUUGGCUUUGCUUAUCGAUAUUGUUUCUGGGUUUUUGUAUGUGUAGCUAUUUCAGAUUGGGUUACAGUUCUGUCGCCCUACAAACUUGAUAUCUCUCUCAAGAUCGCCGACAAAAUUGAUUUCUUAGAGUUCGAGAGACGGAAGGGAGAGAAAAGCAGAGAAGGAGAAAUAGAUAGUUGGACAAGGUUUUGGGGUUUCCAGGUAUGCUUACUUCUCGAAAGUUGCUUAUAAGAAUUCAUUUUCUGAUAGUGAAUUUGAAUUUCGAUGCUUUGUUUUCCUCUGCUGAUGUUUUUUUUCCGGUUGAAGGCGAUGGUGGCUGCGUUGUGGUUCUGGGUGGUAGUUGUUUUUCGUUUAUAUCCUAAUGUGAUCUUCUUAUUCUUCUUCUUCUCCAUUUUGGGGUUUUUUUUUCUAGGAUUGGUAGUUUUAUCAAUCCAAUCAUUUGAUUGAUAGUCGAUAAUUCUUGACUAGGGUGUUUUAAUCUUUGUUUCCGUACUGGGUAGCGAAUAAUUCCCGUCUUCUAUUUGGUUUAUGCCUGUAGAAAUAAAUAGAGAGUGAAAGAGGUAGACAACGAUGAUGAAAUUAAUUUUGCUCAUGCCUUCAUAUUGGGAGGAAAAAGAAGUGGGGAGGCAGAAUGUAAGCAGCUGCAAAUAAAAGGUUAAUGACAACUGUGAUUUUUUUGUUUUCCAUAAAUCACUUUGUUUCUUGAUUUGUUCUUUACAAUUUUUUUGUGCUCUUUUUCCGGAAGGACUUCUCUAAACACUCAUGUGCUCUCAAGACUCAACAAAGAUCAAAUUGAAGAUGGGAUAGGUGAAGCAAGGUACUUCCUUGAACUGUUGUUGCUCAUUUUUUUAAACGAGCUAUAACUUUCUCUCUAGGUUGUCAAACGACAAGCUUAAUUUAUUGUGUGGUAUGGUUUUUGAAUCUAAUUUAAGUCCAUGUUCUGUAGCAGAUACCAAAUUGUUAACGUGUCCAGUGCAAACUAAUCAGAAUGCUCAAUAGAGGUGAUUUUGUUCUUUUUUUUUUUUGUCACAAAUUCAACUGCAUCAGUUAGAUUAUAAAAAACAAUACUGCAUAUUAAAUAGAUUUAAAUAGAGGAACAUAAAUCAUCUACUAUGUAUUUGAGAAUAAUGUUUUCUGAAACUUCAUCUAUUUUAUGUCAUCUGCUAAUCGAAAAGGCAGUCGAUUUUCCAAUUGGAAGAAUGCGAGCUUUUAUCUUACUCCCAACUGUCGUCCUUCCCAGCUAAUCUACUGUACACUUCUUUUCUUUUUUUAUAUAUAUAUUUUUUUAUAAUCUUGCUAUAGCAAUUUUAUUAAUCUUUUUGUGGAGUACUAAUAUUUCUGUGAUUUUUUCUUCUUCUUUUGGUCGGUAAUUUCUUUUGGCAGAGCACGAUCUGUUGCAUGAAUGGCUCUUCUUUCAAUCUCUUGACUACCAAUUUUGAUCCUUAAUGGAGGUAAACCUGAAUCUUUUUUUGGGAAUUUAUUGAAGUUUGUUCAUUUUCUUUGUAGGAUUGAAACUUCAUUUGGACUUCCUAUGAUUGUGACAGUCAAUUGGACUUCUAAGUUUCAUUUUGUCACAUGCACUUGAUAACUUAAUUUUGAAGGUUAAAUGACCGGUGCACCCCAGAACAUCGUCGUUGCCUCGUUGGUCUAUCUGAUAUAUUGGUUUGCAAUUUGAAUUGUGAUCUGAAGUAACUAGUAGUGGAUAAUCAGAUGAUCAAACAAUAAAUUAAACAAAACCGUUGAUAAUAUCAAAAUGCAAUAGAACACAAAUGUUUAACCACUAUUAUUAUUGAUUGAAUUUCUGAAAGCAUGCUGGAAAUUUAUUGCAUCACCAUAUAUAGUCUCCUUUAACCAUUGCAAACACGUACGUACAACUUUUACUAGAAAGAUGAUACCAAUCCAGGAAACACACAAUGUAUAACACACAACAUUAGUGGGAACAAUGCCAUAAACUCCAAUCUCAGCGUCCUAACCUCUUGCACCUUGUGAUCAUUUUCAUUAGUCUGACUAAUCUUCCAACCAUCUCAAGAAAUAUCUCAGGCCUCCGCGUGAUUGCCAUGUCCGCAAGUACCACUCCAACCACCAAUCCACUUCCAAAUCCAGACAACACAAAUUUCCAAUCAAAUUCAAUUCCAGACCCUGAACUGUUGUUGUCUUCUGUGCUGGAAGGUGGCACUUGAGCCGGGGUAUUAGGCUUCCCGCAUUUCCUUGGCAAUGGAUCUCCACACAGCCCAGAGUUUCCUUCAUAAGACGAGAGAGUAAACCCCCUGAGUUGGGUUCCACUUGGUAUGAGACCUGUGAGAUUGUUGUGAGAGACAUUGAACUUUGCAAGGAAUGUCAAUUGAACCAGUUGCUGGGGGAUCUCUCCCGAGAGCUUGUUAUUCGAUAGAUCCAGUGAUUCGAGAUCAUUUAAAUUCCCCAAAGAUGAUGGGAUCCUUCCUGUAAGAAGGUUGUUGGAAACAUUCAGUGAGCGAAGCCCCUUUAGAUUCCCAAUCCAUUCAUCGAUCUUCCCUUCAAAUUUGUUGCAUGAGAUAUCAAUGACUGCAAAGGCUUCUUGAAUCUUUGAAUAGUAUCUAUCAACACCUUUACUGGUUAUUGUAAUCGUGGAACCAUAAGACACAGUGGUGACACCAUAAGAAGCUUCGUAGCUGAUGUCAGCCUCUAUGUAUGUUCUUUGGCUCACCGUUAUAUUUGGUCUCAUUCCAUACUCGGUGAAGAUGUUCUCAGCUAGAAACUGCCCGGUGAAAUUGUUAUACAACAUAUCCAAAACACGCAACUUCGGGAACCGUUGAUUGUUUUCAGGCUUUGCUAUCAUUCCAUAGAAACCAUUAUGCCGCAUUGCCAAAAUUUUUAACUCCGGAAGACUCCCCAACCAAAAGGGGAAGACAUCGCUAAAGUUAUUGUUUGACAGAAUCAACGUCUCAAGCACCAGACAAUUCCCCCACGACGUCGAUAGCUGUCCUUGCAAUUGAUUUUGACUUACAUCAAGUAUCCUUAAGUUGCUUUUGUUGGUGUGUCUUUGGGGAAGAGUGCCGUGAAACGAGUUAUUUCCAAGAAGCAAAACUGUAAGAUGGUCGCUGAAGUUUCCGAAACACUGCGGAAUCAUGCCACUAAAGUUGUUGUUGGACAAAUCAAGGGCCAGAAGAGAACUCAUAUUGCAGAUUCCUGGUGGAACUUCUCCAGCAAAGUUGUUAUUCUGAACUCCAUAGACUAUGGUGGAUGCUGCCGGUACUGGGAGUGGGCCCUGAAACAUGUUUGAUGUAAGAGCGAAAGCGCGCAAGUCGACCCAGGGAAGGACAUCUGGAAGGUUCUCAAAGCCUGAAAGGAGGUUAGUGUCAAGGUUGAAAGUUUUCAAACUUCCGGUGCUCAUGUUCCACAUCCAUUUCGGUACUUGGCCAUGGAUUUUGUUUUGAUCAAGGUUCAAAUACUGCAAACUUUUUUGAUAUCUUAAGAAGUUCGGGAACUGUGUCAAAUUGCAUCUAGCUAAUCCUAGAAGCGUGAACUGUGGAACAGUUGCAUUCAUAAUCUCGGAACCAGUGAGAAAUUCCAGAUUAUUAACACCUAGAUCGAGUUGGUAGAGAUUUUGAAGGUUUUGAAAUUGUUGAAACUCAACUGAACCUCUCAGGUCAUUGUUCUGAAGAUAAAGAAUCUCAAGGUUCGUGAGAUUGGAAAAUGAAGCAAGAAUUGAACCAUUCAGUCUACUAAAUGCAAAAUCUAGGUAAACUAGCUUGCUGAAAUUACCUAUCCACGAUGGGACCGGACCAGAUAAUGGACUUGUACUAAUCCGAAAGACGGUCAAUUGGGUAAGGUUUGCAAAGGACUCGGGAAUCUGACCUACAAAUUUGUUUGCUGAAAGGUCUAGAUAAACGAGUUGUCUCAGAUUACCUAUGGAAGAUGGAACAAAGCCUUCUGAAAAAUUGCAUGCAGCCACGUCCAACUGCUUCAAAGAAUCAAUCUUUCCUAUGGAAGAUGGAAAGUUACCAGAAAAUCUAGUUCCGUGAAGAUCAAGUGUGAUGAGACGACUACUUUGAUUAAAUUCAGGCAAAUGACCAAUGAGAUCUUGGUUGUCUCUAACAUAGAGACUUUUCAAGUUUUGUAAGUGGAAAAUUGUUACUGGGAAGUCUCCAAAUAACUCGCACUGAUGUAAGUCGAGGGUUGUCAAAAAUGAUAGAUUGGCCAUGGAAUAGGGUAUUGUCGAAGAUAUGUUUAUGUAACGGAGACGAAGAUGUUCUAGUUUGGUUAAGUUUCGAACAAGAUUUCUGAAAUUGAAUUCAUCAAGUUUCAACAAUCCCACACUAGAAGGGAAAUAAGAAGGAUCGGUAUUGGAAGAAAGAUUGAGGAGUGACAGCUUGGACAGCUGUGAAACUUCUGCUGGGACUCGACCAGAAAAGACAGAGGCAGAGAGGUCAAGAUAGGUGAGGCUAGGGAAAUUCCUAAUGCUAGUAGGAAUUUGAGAGUAAUUGAAGUCAUUAUCGGCAAGGUCCAGCCUUUGAAGGUGAACAAGACGAAAAAGGGAGCUGUUGGAGUUGAUAGAGCCGAAGAGACAACUGCUUCUGAGAUCAAGCCCGAUCACAUAACCGGUCUGUUCGUCACACUCGACACCAUCCCAUGUGCAGCAGUUGGUUUUGUUUCCUCCUUGAGCUGGUUUCCAGGACAACACUUUCGGAUAAGCACCCUCUAAACCCGAAGCGGAUGCGCUGAUAGUAAAGCUCUCCUUGAACUGUACCAAGGCAGAGCUCUCCUCAUCAUGACAAUAAGAUGACUGCUGCAAAGAGUACGUAGUAUCAACUACCUAGAACUAUUACCAUUCGAUCAAUACAUGAACAACGUACAUACUGAUUAAAAUAAGCAUAUAUUGAUUAAGGAUUGUAUGAGCAGCUUACCUCAUGUGUGUUGCAGCCGUUGAAGAAAAAUAUCAAUAACAGAAGCAAGCACUGGGGUAACCCCAUCAUAAAAUGUGUAUGUUAAGAUAAUUUCUCUGUUAGCCGUAGUAGUAGAUCUGUCAGCUAUUGAUAUGGAAGGAGUGGUGUGAAUGAAGUGGGAUCAGAUUGAGUGCUAUAUAUAUAGACCCAAUCACCCAAGCUAGAAUAACUAAUUCUCCUUUGAUCCCCCAAAAAAAAAAGGGAAACAGACAAAAUAAUUAAUUUCUGGUGAGCUUCUAUCCUUGGCUAGUUUCAGUCAUUGGAUUCCUUGACUGUUAAUCUUAGACAUCAUUAAAUAUCUACAAAAACAUAUAGAAAUCCAGAAAAGCUAGCAAUAUAGAAAACAUCACAGGUGACCAUCCAUCAGCAAAAAAUAAAAAAUAAACGUCAUCAAGAUUACCAUACAACAAUUUCGUGAUUUCUAAAUUUGAAUUUGGAUUCCUUCAACUUUAAUAAUCAUCAACCAUAUUUAAUAUCCUUUCUGAUUGCAAUUUGCAAGAAAAUUUACUCGUUGAUGCUAAUGGGAUGGAUAUUCUAUUAUCUCGUCUUGGUCUCCUUUUGUCCGGUGAUAGUUUACUUGGUAGUCUGUGGAAUUUAUCAUGGGUUUACAUUUUAUAAUUAACGUAAGUCACAAUCUAUCAGUGAGUUGUUGACAGUUGAAUAGUCUCAGUAAUAUCGAGAAGGUCAUGGGUUUACAUUUUAUAAUUAACGUAAGUCACAAUCUACCAGUGAGUUGUUGAUAGUUAAAUAGUCUCAGUAAUAUCGAGAAGGUCAUGGGUUUACAUUUUACUGGCUUUCGGAGUAGUGGUUUGAGAAUUUGAGAUUGAGACUGGGAUCGGGACAGAGAUAUGCAGUUCGCUUUUUUUUUUUUUUUGGUCGUAAUAGAAAAGAAAAUUCUAAGGUAAUGUUAUUAGGAAAAUGCUAGAGACACCAAAAAUUCAUACAAAAACUCUAUACCAAAUGAUGUGGCACAUGCCAUAUCAUCAUUUUAAACCUAAUAUUUUCCACCAUGUAUUUUUAUUAACCUAUUUGAUUUUGAAUAAAAUUCUAAAACAAAAUUCACAAAAUUUAUUUGCAUAUAUUAAUUAUUAAUUUAGUGUCCUCUUAAGAAGGAAUACCCAACUUCUCAAGUAGACUAUUUUAGGGACAAAAGAUCGAACAUAGUUUUUCCAAAGACAAGAAAACGAACAAAAUCAUCAAGGGAGAAAGGCACCAGAAAGUCUUCGAAUGGUUGUUCAGGUUAAGGAAGACCAUCUUUUGGGUUGAAUCGUUAAUGAUAUUGUUUAAGAGAACAUCUAGAGAAACAGGAGCAGGAAAAAUUUUGAUAAUCUCAUACUCGUUCAAGCGGUUGAAGUUGUCAUCUUGUGGUUCAAAACAAUUACUAUCUAAACAUCCUANNNNNNNNNNNNNNNNNNNNNNNNNNUAAAAAAACCAAGAAAGACAAAUGCGGCUGCAUAUUCUUGGAUGUGUUUGAUGAUUAGACUUCUAGCUCUAGGUUAAUCCCAUCAGUAUUUCAUUCACAUAAGAAAACUAAUUAUUAUUAUUAUUAGAUUUUUAGGAUUACUUAUUAAUUAAGAAAACCAAAUAUACUGAAAUUUUUCAAUUGAUUCACAUAAGGAAACUAAUUAUUAUUAUUAUUAGAUUUUUAGGAUUAUUUAUUAAUUAAGAAAACCAAAUAUACUGAAAUUUUUCAAUUGAGUGUGAUGACAUGUAUAUGCCACGUAGGUUGCCACGUAAUUUGGUAUAAAUUUUUGGUGCACGUAGCAGAACUCAUGUUAUUAACACACCCUAUUUUGCUAUUCACACACCUCAUGCAUUUUCAUAAUACUAUAAAUUUGAUUGUGUUUACGAAAUUACCUCUUAAAGUUGCUUUAUAAUUGAUCCACAUCAGAAAAGGAGUGUGUAAAUAAUAAAAUAUGAUGUGUUAAUAUAUAGCACUAUCCAAAUUCAUUCUAUUACAAGAUCAUAAUGAUCAGAUAAAGUACAAGAGACACAUAGAGGCCUAGAAUAAGAGGCACAUAGGCCCCAACAAAAGAGGCCCAUUGCAUGCAUAAUUAAAAUCCACAUUGGGCCCAAAUAAAAACUACAAACCUUAGAUUCCUAGCUAUUACACUUCCACAAUAGGAUCUACGGCUGCGACAUCCCACUGCCAAAUUCGAUCCCCUUCAUGAACGAUAGCAACCAUCGUAGAACCACAUCGCAUCACUCCUCCGCCGGAUGGAACACACGCGUACGCAUGACUCACAAGUAACCAUAGAGACAGUGAUCGAAAAAACAAUCUGAACAGCCUCUUUAGAUUGGACAAGAAAUCGCCAACGAGCAAAAGCUUGCUUAGUGGUGGAGAAGAGAGUGGAUAUGGAACUCACCGUAGCUAAAACCUUCCAAUGGUGGAGCAAGUUUGGUUUGUGGAGAAGGAGGAAACACAAGACGGAGAGGGGGUAAGAGUGGAGACGUACAGAGAUCAUUCCAUCUUUGCAAAUCUCAUGAAAGGAAAGAGAUAGAGUUGGUAGAUGGUGACAUGGGCAAAUCUGGUUGAUCAAUGAGGUUGGGUAAGGGUGGAGAUGGAGGUAAAGGCGACUAGGGAAAAGGUGGUGGGAGGAGUGGGUAUGUAGGGUGGGAAUGUGUUCAAAACGGCUGACCUAGAAGAAGAUUUAUGGAGAGAAGGAGGAGCCUCUCUCUCUAGAAAUAUUCUUUGUUGAUGAUACUUCGCUUUGUUUAAGUUUGCUUAUUUUGGUCCUAUCAACAAAUAUAUGGUUCUGCUUUGUCGUUUUGGUUUCUUUUGGUCUUCGGAUUCUUUUUUUUUUGUCUAAUCUCCUGGUCUUCUGAUAAUUUGUCUUGAUUUUCCUAAGCACAACUAUGAUCACAUUACCGGCGAUAUUCCCCAAUGAGAGCAACUGAUUUUUUUAGCGAGCUAAAUAUGCUCUUGUGUUGUACUUGUCCCGUGUGAGACCUAGUAAGGUGGUUAAUAUAUAUUCAUCUAUUAAAAACAAGGGUAAGGCUAUGGUGUGUUGAUGCAUGUCAUGCAUCAACUUGGUCCUAAAGUUGUAAAAUGAGUCCUUAAGGUAGUAAUAUUAAUCCUCAAAAUUGUAAUUGAGUCCUUAAAGUUGUAAAAACUCAUAUUUACAACAUUAGUCAUCUAAGUGGUAAAAUGUGUCCUUAAAGUGGUAAUUGAGUCCUCAAUGUUGCAUCAACUUUUCUUUUAUCACUUUGAGGACUAAAUUACCACUUUAACGACACAUUUUACCACUUAGAGGACUAAUGUUGUAAAUAUGAGUUUUUACAACUUUAAGGACUCAAUUACAACUUUGUAGAUUAGUAUUACUACUUUAACGACCAAUUUUACAACUUUAGGACCAAGUUGAUGCAUGACAUGCAAUAACACAUUGUAGAAUUUUCCUAAAAAAAAAACAUGAUUAAAUUCAUUUUACCCUCUUGAGGUUUAAAGUUAACUCAAUUUCAGUCAUUAGCCCCUCAAUUUUGAAUAUUCAUCCCUGAAUUUUUUAUUUUAUUUUAUCAGCU